UAUCUGCAGUCGGACGGGAUAGGAGAGCUUGCUUUCCUUGAGAGUGGCGCACGGGUGCGUAACACGUAUGUAACCUACCCAUAUCAGGGGGAUAGCCUCUCGAAAGAGAGAUUAAGACCGCAUAACAUAACGAAAUGGCAUCAUUUUGUUAUCAAAUAUUUAUAGGAUAUGGAUGGGCAUGCGGAACAUUAGCUAGUUGGUGUGGUAACGGCAUACCAAGGCUACGAUGUUUAGGGGAUCUGAGAGGAUGGCCCCCCACGCUGGUACUGAGACACGGACCAGACUCCUACGGGAGGCAGCAGUAAGGAAUAUUGGUCAAUGGACGGAAGUCUGAACCAGCCAUGCCGCGUGCAGGAAGACGGCCCUAUGGGUUGUAAACUGCUUUUGCAGGGGAAUAAACCUUCGUAUGUAUACGAAGCUGAAUGUACUCUGAGAAUAAGGAUCGGCUAACUCCGUGCCAGCAGCCGCGGUAAUACGGAGGAUCCAAGCGUUAUCCGGAUUUAUUGGGUUUAAAGGGUGCGUAGGUGGUCUAUUAAGUCAGGGGUGAAAGACGGCAGCUUAACUGUCGCAGUGCCUUUGAUACUGAUGGACUUGAAUGAACUAGAGGUAGGCGGAAUGUGACAAGUAGCGGUGAAAUGCAUAGAUAUGUCACAGAACACCAAUUGCGAAGGCAGCUUACUAUGGUUUGAUUGACACUGAGGCACGAAAGCGUGGGGAUCAAACAGGAUUAGAUACCCUGGUAGUCCACGCCCUAAACGAUGAAUACUCGAUGUUGGCGAUAUACGGUCAGCGUCUAAGCGAAAGCGUUAAGUAUUCCACCUGGGGAGUACGCCCGCAAGGGUGAAACUCAAAGGAAUUGACGGGGGCCCGCACAAGCGGAGGAGCAUGUGGUUUAAUUCGAUGAUACGCGAGGAACCUUACCCCGGCUUGAAAGUUAGUGAAUGGAGCAG
rnacentral:rRNA from 1 species